CCUAACAGCUGCAGUUUCCCAACAAUGCUGCUCCUGAAAGUGUAUAUAAGAAAAGCUCCACGUUCAGAGCAACACCACAACAACCUCCCUGAUCAUCUGUGAGACAGUCUGCUGAAGCUAAGACCUGACGGUGUGAUCACUGAAACCAUGCUGAAGGUAGCACUUGUUCUUGGAUGCCUCCUGAGCCUCGCUCUGGCCAGUCCUAUGGAUGGAGGACACAAACGAUUUGCCCGCUCAAACGCUGGUUCUGAUUUUACUUCUGAUGAGG